UGGGGAAUCUUGCGCAAUGGGCGAAAGCCUGACGCAGCAACGCCGCGUGGGGGAUGAAGGCUCUCGGGUUGUAAACCCCUUUCAGCAGGAACGAAAAUGACGGUACCUGCAGAAGAAGGCCCGGCCAACUACGUGCCAGCAGCCGCGGUAAUACGUAGGGGCCAAGCGUUGUCCGGAUUUAUUGGGCGUAAAGAGCUCGUAGGCGGUUUGGAUAGUCGGGUGUGAAAACUCCGAGCUCAACUCGGAGACGCCACCCGAUACUGCCAUGACUAGAGUCCGGUAGGGGAGCAGGGAAUUCCUGGUGUAGCGGUGAAAUGCGCAGAUAUCAGGAGGAACACCGGUGGCGAAGGCGCUGCUCUGGGCCGGUACUGACGCUGAGGAGCGAAAGCGUGGGUAGCAAACAG
rnacentral:rRNA from 1 species